AUGAGAAGCAGCGUCAUGGAGGUGGGGCUCAGUGCGGCGUUGGCGAUGGGUCGUCUGUGCAUCCUGCUCCUGCUGCUCGGCAGCGCCGCAGCCGAGGUGCUGCCGGCGGACCUGGUCUUCCAGCCCCCAGCGCCGCCGCCCCCGCCCCCUCACUCCACCCACCAGCCGGAGCCGGCUCACGGCCUCACCGGAGAAGAGAAAGCCUGGAUAGCGGUCGGCGUGUCGGCUCUCGCGGUCGCCGCCUUUGCGCUGCUGGUGUACUGCUGCACCACCAGCGGCCACGUGCAGCCGCCACGCGCCGCGGAGCCCAGGCGUGCCGAGAUCGUUGUCCGAAUGCCUCCUCUUGACGUCCGAAUGGCCUGA
rnacentral:rRNA from 1 species